AGUGAGAUUAAAUGGAGAACAAAAGGACUUUGCCUAAGUCUCCUGCUUCUCAGAUGUUUCUCCUGAGAAAAAGACUUCAGUAAUCUUCAGUUAUUUGUGAAGCCCACCCUCACAGAGAAUGAGAGCGCUCUCUAGUGGUCACAAACACCACAGCUCUCUUGGGCUGUUUUGACCAGGGCUUGACUGGACUGAUUACGCGGUCACCCCACCCCAAACCCUUUCCUUCCCAUGAUGCCUCAGGCUACAACGCCACACCCCACAACAACACUCCCCCCUCCUGAGUGGGAGGGUCUCAGUGCAGGUGGGAAGGAUAAUUAAACUUUUACAUAGACUCACUUCUCUGGUGUAAAUCAGCUUACUGUCACAGAUCCAUUCUGCUGGAAGAUCUUGAAAUGACAGAAAGGUGAGGGCUGGAGCAGUUCAAACGAAACAGCCUAAUAAAACAGUCUUUGUUUACACACCCUCAUGUUGUCCCAGAAUCAUGUAACCCACAAAUUUUCACACAGCA